UGAACGCCAUUUAUGCUGCCUAAUAGUACAGAGAGGAGGACAAGGAGGCAAGAUGUGAUCUUGAACAGUUUUAUGAAGCACAGCAUGCGUUGAAGGUGUUGGGUAUAAUUAGCUUCAUCUCCUGUUUCUUUGCUCGGCUUCAUUGAAGAACAUUAUUUUUGGCUUAAUUAGGAGGUAAAGCCAUCCAAUAGGUGGCUUUACUAUUUAUCUGAUGGAGAUAACUUUGGAUCCCUACACUGGGUAACAGAAUAGAGCCCAUCUCUGUCCUAUGCCAAUGCUCCACUUUUGGGGAGCUGAGUGGAACAUAGAUGUUAUAAAGGGAGAUUGUUUUAAAACCUCAAGCCUGCAUUUUUGCAGAAAAUAUGAGAGAAAAAAAUUAUUUGCAGGAAUUAGCAAAGAAAACAAUUUUCAUGUAAUAAGAGUAGGAAGAAGGAAGAAGAAUGAUGGGCAGGAGAAAGACUAAAUGCUUUUUAAGGCUUGAGGUGCUUUGGGAAUGAUCUCCAAGUAUAGAUUCUGAAAAGUUAAUUUCUUGCAAUGUACCCUCUGAUAAUUUCUUUGAAUGUUGGUUUGUGUCUAAUCCUUUG
rnacentral:lncRNA from 1 species